AUCCUUUUUUGGUUCAUAAGCAUGAUGAUUGGGUAUUCACACCUUUGCACGAUAUGUACUGUCCAUUAGACCUUGUUACAACAUGGGCACAUUACCCAUCUGAUG